UUCCCUACGGGAGGCAGCAGUGAGGAAUAUUGGUCAAUGGGCGCGAGCCUGAACCAGCCAAGUCGCGUGAGGGAUGACGGUCCUACGGAUUGUAAACCUCUUUUGCCAGGGAGCAAGCGUGCGUUCGUGAACGCGCGUCGAGAGUACCCGGAGAAAAAGCAUCGGCUAACUCCGUGCCAGCAGCCGCGGAAAUACGGAGGAUGCGCGCGUUAUCCGGUUUUAUUGGGUUUAAAGGGUGCGCAGGCGGUCUUGCAAGACUGGAGUGAA
rnacentral:rRNA from 1 species